rnacentral:lncRNA from 1 species
UAGAAGUCAGGUCGGAUUAAGCCAUAGUACGGAAAAAACUAUGCUACCUGUGAGCCCCGUCCAAGGACGUUAAAAGAAGUCAGGCCAUCAUUAAUGCCAUAGCUUGAGUAAACUAUGCUGCCUGUAGCUCCACCUGAGAAGGUGUAAAAAAUCUGGGAGGCCACAAACCAUGGAAGCUGUACGCAUGG